CGCAGGGUAGAGCAGUUUGGUAGCUCGUCGGGCUCAUAACCCGGAGGUCGCUGGUUCAAAUCCGGUCCCUGCAU
rnacentral:tRNA from 1 species